GUGCUCACUUUGGCAGCAAGUACACUAAAACUGGAACAACACAGAGAAGGUUUGCAUGGCCCCCAUGGAAGAAUG
ensembl:snRNA U6 U6 spliceosomal RNA